AGACCAUGUAAUUCUGGCCAAAUUUUCAAAAUAUUCACUUGUUGGUACUCUAAUAACAAUCCUAAAACCUCCAACAAUUUUUGCGUUAACUCAUCUGGGGCUUCUUCCUUCUUUAAUAACGAUAAUAUUUUAUUGGUGUAGUCAGCAACUGCUGUUGAGAUGAAUGAUGUAGAUGAAUCUUUUUCUUUUUUAGAUGACAGAAGUAUUUCGUUAAGCAAUUUAAUAGAAAUAUUUACCUCGGACAUUUGGGUCGAGGGUCCCAAACCUCGAUCAAGCACCUCAAUUAUAUAUUUGUAUGCAAAGCGAGGCCCAUAAAGUGAUACGUCAGAAAGGAGAUAGCAAGCCUUUUUAAUAAUUAAUUCUCUUUGGCAUUGUGUCGUACAUUUUUGGAAUACGUCUAUACACAAUUCAAAAUUGUUAGGUAGAAGAGUCGAAAGAUUAGAAUGGUAUAUUUCUAGAGAAUCACAGACCACACAGAGAAUUGCAAAAAAUUCCUCUUGAGCAACGUUGUACUGUUUUAAAAUUUGUAAAAAUGAAGGGAAUACAGUCGAAGUAUAAAAUUUGUUUACGAAAGGUUGGACGUUCGAGUUGGACAAAAGCAAACUGAGAGCAGACAAGUAAUUUUUCGAUUUCUUCCCAGCAACUCCAGAAAGCAAAUUUUCAACAGUAGAUUUUAACUUAUCUUGUGGAAUUUUGCUAGAAAUUAUAGCAACACAACGAACUGCCUCUUGUUGAACCUCUGGCGAAGCAUCACUCAGUGCUUGUAAUAAAACAUCGAGUGUAUCAGGAAAGCUCUCCAAUUUGAGAUUUUUCAAAUGGUUUGCAUCAUUAAGUCGGGCAGCUAAAUCGCUGAGUGCCAUGUAACGUAUGUCUUUAUCG